GCACUGUAAGCAAUUGCCGUAAAUUUACAGCCAAUUUUCAACACUAAAAUACUGUUUUCAUGUUAAACAGUUUAGUACUGUAGUUAGCAAUGCAUUGUGGGCUGCUUAAAUUGGAGCAACAAGACAGAGGCCCUCAACAGUAAGUUGAUGUUUUAAAUUACAGGACAAUACAGUAUUUUCUCGAAAAUGCAUGUUGACUGGGGAAUUUGGAGCACGGUCAGAAGCAAUAUUAGUUUUAUAAAUUGAGGCUAGCCUUUUGCUUUUGGUCAAUUUUCUUUAAAAAAAUACAGAAGUAAUUUGUCAUUAACCCCUGGAUGGAAUUUCGGGAACCAUUAUUUGGAUUGGAGAUUUUCCAGAAGAGGACGUACAAUUUAGAUGACGUGCUGCACAUUCUCAAGUGUUCUUCAUCAAAUUCAUCGGGUCUUGCAUCUACAAAUGAAACGGUAAUUCAAAUCUUAUUCAUAUUGCCAAAAAUGCUUGAUAUCAACUGAUAGAAGCUUCUCUUGCUAGGGAUUUAAACAUGUCAUUGAACAGUGAGGCUUAGAUUUGAAUAGCCAAAACAAUAUUACUUUUGAGUGGUAUUUUGUUUAAUUUUGGUAAAGUUGGACGUAGGCUACUUCUGAAUUUGAGAAACAACACUUAUUAAAAAAUUUACUUUAACCAAACCAUAGGUUUAUUUGAACAAAAUUUUAUUUUGUUUGUGUCGACUUUUAAUGAAAAGUUAAAAGUUUGGUUAAAGUUGAAUAGUCAAGGCUUUGCAUUUUUCUUUUUAAACGCCAAAUUGGUGUGAAAAUAUUGUCUUUCUGGACUCUUUGUGAAUGCAAUGUGUGUACUAGUUUGUGGGAGUACUACUACAUAUGUAAAAAGAGAGGUGUAAAUAUUUUUUUGGCUCAAAGGAAGCUGCAUGUAAGCUACGUGUGACAACAUGGAGUUAAAAAGAUAAAUUGUUACCCUUUAAAUUUUGAAUGUCAAAUCUAUUUAGAAGUUUGAUUGUAGGUACCUCGUUCACGUCUUGGUUACAUUCCACCUAGUGUUUACUAAUUAUUGUCCUUUUUAUAAAUUUUCUUCUUAAAAAUCUUAUUAUGGUAAGGAUAAUGUAUUUGUUCCCUUCAGGUGUCUGCCACUGCAGCUGACGUUGAGACAACUCUCAGUCUUCCUGCAAGUCCUCGCCUGAUACCUGUUUCAAGUGCAACAAGGCAAGUCACAAUUAAGGGUUGGAUGAUCACCUUUAAGGGCUCUGAGGGCAUCACACCAACAUUUGAAAUUGGACUUGCUGCUAUGUUUGCAACCUACUACAUUUUCAGCCUUCAGUAUCAAGAUGAGACAGCCUGCCCUCUGGAAUUCAUUCAGAGGCACUUCAUUGAUAUAAAUCAAGAGAGAGGAACAAAUGCCAAAAUCAUCAGACAAGAUUGUCUCUAAGAAGAAAGGUGUGAUCGUCCAGAAGUCAUCUUCUGCAGUUAAAUACACACGUGGCCAUGCUACUGAAGGAUCUCC